ACUCAAAUGAAUUGACGGGGGCCCGCACAAGCAGCGGAGCGUGUGGUUUAAUUCGAGGCUACACGAAGAACCUUACCUGGGUUUGACAUACUGGUAGUAGGGAACCGAAAGGGGACCGACCGCAAGGAGCCAGUACAGGUGCUGCAUGGCUGUCGUCAGCUCGUGCCGUGAGGUGUUCGGUUAAGUCCGCAAACGAGCGCAACCCUCGGCGUUAGUUACAAGUGUCUAACGCGACUGCCCGUGAGAAACGGGAGGAAGGUGGGGAUGACGUCAAGUCAGCAUGGCCUUUAUAUCCAGGGCUACACACACGCUACAAUGGGGGGUACAACGGGUUGCGAAGUUGUGAGACGGAGCCAAUCCAGAAAGCCUCUCGUAGUUCGGAUUGCAGGCUGCAACUCGCCUGCAUGAAGUCGGAGUUGCUAGUAACCGCGCGUCAGCUAUAGCGCGGUGAAUACGUUCCCGGGCCUUGUACACACCGCCCGU
rnacentral:rRNA from 1 species